rnacentral:rRNA from 1 species
AAGUCGUAACAAGGUUUCCGUAGGUGAACCUGCGGAAGGAUCAUUAAUCGAACCAACAUGUUUCUCAGCAUGAUAUUUCAAACCCCACCUGUGUACCUUACCUGUUGCUUCCGUGCUGCGCAUGCUGCAAACGUGUGCCUUGCGGUCCGGAGUACCUAUUGCUCCUAUGGCCCGUGGGAGCCGGCACGGGAGGUAACCCACAAACUCUUGCCCUUGAAUGCCUUCCGUCUGAACUGUAGUACAUGAAAAGUUAAAACUUUCAACAACGGAUCUCUUGGUUCUCGCAUCGAUGAAGAACGCAGCGAAAUGCGAUAAGUAGUGUGAAUUGCAGAAUUCCGUGAAUCAUCGAAUCUUUGAACGCACAUUGCGCCUCCUGGUAAUCCGUGAGGCAUGCCUGUUCGAGCGUCACUAAAAUCAAAUCAACCACCACCCAUGUGUUUGGUCAUGGAGGAAGAGUCCGUCUUGUUGCGGUCUCCCCUCCCAAAAUCAACGGCGGAAAGUCGCUGGCACUCGGCGUAGGAGUAUUAUUCGCCGAUUACCCAGUGUCGUUCCUGCCACCAAAUGCCCACGAUUCUCUUGAUUGACCUCGGAUCAGGUAGGGAUACCCGCUGAACUUAAGCAUAUCAAUAAGCGGAGGAAAAGAAACCAACAGGGAUUGCCCUAGUAACGGCGAGUGAAGCGGCAACAGCUCAAAUUUGAAAUCUGGCGUCUUUGGCGUCCGAGUUGUAAUUUGCAGAGGGCGCUUUGGCAUUGGCAGCGGUCCAAGUUCCUUGGAACAGGACGUCACAGAGGGUGAGAAUCCCGUACGUGGUCGCUAGCCUUUACCGUGUAAAGCCCCUUCGACGAGUCGAGUUGUUUGGGAAUGCAGCUCUAAAUGGGAGGUAAAUUUCUUCUAAAGCUAAAUACUGGCCAGAGACCGAUAGCGCACAAGUAGAGUGAUCGAAAGAUGAAAAGCACUUUGGAAAGAGAGUUAAAAAGCACGUGAAGUUGUUGAAAGGGAAGCGCUUGCAGCCAGACUUGCCUGUAGUUGCUCAUCUAGGUUUCUACCUAGUGCACUCUUCUAUGGGCAGGCCAGCAUCAGUUUGGGCGGUUGGAUAAAGGUCUCUGUCAUGUACCUCUCUUCGGGGAGAACUUAUAGGGGAGACGACAUGCAACCAGCCUGGACUGAGGUCCGCGCAUCUGCUAGGAUGCUGGCGUAAUGGCUGUAAGCGGCC